CUACGGGGGGCUGCAGUGAGGAAUAUUGGUCAAUGGGCGAGAGCCUGAACCAGCCAUCCCGCGUGCAGGAUGACGGCCCUAUGGGUUGUAAACUGCUUUUCUAUGCCAAGAAUAGUUACUACGUGUAGUGAUUUGACGGUAGCAUAGGAAUAAGCAUCGGCUAACUCCGUGCCAGCAGCCGCGGUAAUACGGAGGAUGCAAGCGUUAUCCGGAUUCAUUGGGUUUAAAGGGUGCGCAGGUGGGUUUGUAAGUCAGUGGUGAAAUACUGCCGCUUAACGGUAGAACUGCCAUUGAUACUGCAAAUCUUGAAUAUGGUUGAGGUAGGCGGAAUGUGUUGUGUAGCGGUGAAAUGCAUAGAUAUGACACAGAACGCCGAUUGCGAAGGCAGCUUACUAAGCCAUUAUUGACGCUGAGGCACGAAAGCGUGGGGAGCGAACAGGAUUAGAUACCCGUGUAGUC
rnacentral:rRNA from 1 species